rnacentral:rRNA from 1 species
AUUGAACGCUGGCGGCAGGCCUAACACAUGCAAGUCGAGCGAGCGGCGGACGGGUGAGUAAUGUAUGGGGACUGCCCGAUAGAGGGGGAUAACUACUGGAAACGGUGGCUAAUACCGCAUACUAUCGGAUAAACCAUUGGGGAUUAGUUAGUAGGUGGGGUAAAGGCUCAACUGGGCGACGCUCUCUAGCUGGUCUGAGAGGAUGAUCAGCAACACUGGGACUGAGACACGGCCCUGCCGCCGACGGAGGCAGCAGUGGUGAAUAUUGCACAAUGGGCGAAAGCCUAAUGCAGCCAUGCCGCGUGUAUGAAGAAGGCCGUAGGGUUGUAAAGUACUUUCAGCGGGGAGGCGUUACCUGCAGAAGAAGCACCGGCUAACUCCGUGCCAGCAGCCGCGGUAAUUC